rnacentral:rRNA from 1 species
UACCAGCACCCCGAGUGGUCGGGACGAUUAUUGGGCCUAAAGCAUCCGUAGCCGGUCCUGCAAGUCUUCCGUUAAAUCCAGCUGCUCAACAGAUGGGCUGCGGGGGAUACUACAGGGCUAGGAGGCGGGAGAGGCAAGCGGUACUUUAUGGGUAGGGGUAAAAUCCGUUGAUCCAUAGAAGACCACCAGUGGCGAAGGCGGCUUGCCAGAACGCGCUCGACGGUGAGGGAUGAAAGCUGGGGGAGCAAAUCGG